rnacentral:rRNA from 1 species
CACCGCGGUUAUACGAGAGACCCAAGUUGACAGCUUCCGGCGUAAAGCGUGGUUAAGUUAAUCCUAAACUAAAGUAGAAUGCCCCCUCUCCCCCCUCCCCGCUGUCAUAAGCAUAUGAAGGUAAGAAGCUCAAAUACGAAAGUGACUUUAUGAUACUGAACCCACGAAAGCUGAGAUA